GGUGGCAGAUGAUGUGAUCUUGAAAUCUUAUCCUACACACUGAAUCAUGGUGUGGACCAAUAACUCCGCUUAUUAUCUGAUGCCCCU
rnacentral:snoRNA from 1 species